UAUAAAGGGACAACUUAGGGAUUAUUUUCUGGAAAACCAAAACUUCUCCUCUCCUCUUCUCUCUCGCGUGCGACGGCUGCUUGGGCGGAAAACAGAGGGGAGUUAGGGCUCAUCUCCGAUGGCCGGUCAAGGGUCCAAUCCGAGAGUUCUUCACCGCCUCACGAUCCUCUCGGUAAGGAGAACACGGAGAUGCAAGGAGUCGCCGAAAAUUUGAGCUAUCCAAAACCCUAGAAGCCUUGUUGUUCGGUUGUAAGUCUAAUAACAAGAUAAAGGAAAGGAAAAGCUAUAGCGAAGGAAGGCGACAAGGAGGUGCAGAUGGAUGUGUGAUGUUUGGACUAUAGAAGCCUUGGGACUUAGUUUAGAAAUUUAUUAAGAUUUUGUAUUCAGAAUGUUAGAAUUAUUUUUCCUUUGAUGUUAGAUUUGCUUAUGGAAUAAUUAUGUUUUAGAAUUCUUUUGUGGUGCACAUUAGUUCUAUUUAUUUGAGUUGUAGUAUUAUUGCA